rnacentral:lncRNA from 1 species
UGAAAGCGUCGCAAUAGGCACUUUUAUCUGGGCAUUGACGGUCCGCUCCGGUCAGACCGGCGAAUGCACACGAACGCGCAGAAGGAACUGUAGUGUGCGUGACUCAGUUAACACACAAACACAUUUAAAGAACUGUAGUGCGCGUGCGCAGAGCGAUCGUGUGACCGGCGGAACAUAGAACGCAUCUCUCGCUCCGCUCGUGAAGCCAACUGACCGGAGCGUGAAGGUGCGUCCACUUGGUUUUGCCGUCGUUUUGCACCCGAGCUCACCGCGUCUAUCUAUGCAGUUCCUGCACUCUCUCUGGACGCUACAUCUGCGAGGGGCUGAGCGUAAGCGACGCUCAGCUAAAAGAACCUUAUAUAUCUGGCUCUACAUUUUCAGCCUGCCCUUUCACAAUGCGGAGUAAUUUGUUUAUUCGCUUGUCUCGCUUUACAGCCUCAAUGUUACUCCUGCAACUUUUGAAGAAAUCGUAAAGCGGACGCGUCAUGACUCCAUUUCGAAUUGUCUUGCCCAUCUCUAUAGGAACAUG